rnacentral:rRNA from 1 species
UACGGGGGGGGCAAGCGUUGUUCGGAAUUACUGGGCGUAAAAGGCUCGUAGGUGGCCAACUAAGUCAUACGUGAAAUCCCUCAGCUUAACUGGGGAACUGCGUCUGAUACUGGAUGGCUUGAGUUUGGGAGAGGGAUGCGGAAUUCCAGGUGUAGCGGUGAAAUGCGUAGAUAUCUGGAGGAACACCGGUGGCGAAGGCGGGUCUCUGGGCCGAUACUGACGCUGAGGAGCGAAAGCGUGGGGAGCGAACAGG